GAUGAACGCUAGCUACAGGCUUAACACAUGCAAGUCGAGGGGCAGCAUGAACAAAGCUUGCUUUGUUUGAUGGCGACCGGCGCACGGGUGCGUAACACGUAUCCAAUCUGCCCGCGGCUCGGGGAUAGCCCAUCGAAAGAUGGAUUAAUACCCGAUGGCGUGGUCACUCCGCAUGGGGUUUCCACUAAAGGUUUUCCGGCCGCGGAUGAGGAUGCGUAUGAUUAGGUAGUAGGCGGGGUAACGGCCCACCUAGCCUUCGAUCAUUAGGGGUUCUGAGAGGAAGGUCCCCCACACUGGAACUGAGACACGGUCCAGACUCCUACGGGAGGCAGCAGUGAGGGAAUAUUGGUCAAUGGGCGAGAGCCUGAACCAGCCAAGUAGCGUGAAGGAUGACUGCCCUAUGGGUU
rnacentral:rRNA from 1 species